rnacentral:misc_RNA from 1 species
GAAUGAGUAUAGAGUCGGCUGUCGCUGGUCCCUCGGGGGCAUGUGCACGCCUUCUCUUUCAUCCACACACACCUGUGCACUUGUGAGACGGAAGCCCUCGGGCGUCCGUCUGCUCUACAUAAACUCAUAUCUAUAAUUUGAAUGUAAUUGAUGUAAUACAUCUUUAAACUAAGCUUCAACAACGGAUCUCUUGGCUCU